GAAUUUUGGACAAUGGGCGAAAGCCUGAUCCAGCAAUGCCGCGUGCAGGAUGAAGGCCUUCGGGUUGUAAACUGCUUUUGUACGGAACGAAAAGCUUUGGGCUAAUAUCCUGGAGUAUUGACGGUACCGUAAGAAUAAGCACCGGCCUACGACGCGCCAGCAGCCGCGGUAAUACGUAGGGUGCAAGCGUUAAUCGGAAUUACUGGGCGUAAAGCGUGCGCAGGCGGUUUUGUGAGACAGAGGUGAAAUCCCCGGGGUCAACCUGGGAACUGCCUUUGUGACUGCAAGGCUAGAGUACGGCAGAGGGGGGUGGGAUUCCGCGUGUAGCAGUGAAAUGCGUAGAUAUGCGGAGGAACACCGAUGGCGAAGGCAACCCCCUGGGCCUGUACUGACGCUCAUGCACGAAAGCGUGGGGAGCAAACA
rnacentral:rRNA from 1 species